UACGUAGGGUGCGAGCGUUAAUCGGAAUUACUGGGCGUAAAGCGUGCGCAGGCGGCUUUGCAAGACAGAUGUGAAAUCCCCGGGCUCAACCUGGGAACUGCAUUUGUGACUGCAAGGCUAGAGUACGGUAGAGGGGGAUGGAAUUCCGCGUGUAGCAGUGAAAUGCGUAGAUAUGCGGAGGAACACCGAUGGCGAAGGCAAUCCCCUGGACCUGUACUGACGCUCAUGCACGAAAGCGUGGGGAGCAAACAGG
rnacentral:rRNA from 1 species